ensembl:lncRNA
UGCGUUCAGUAAUUUCAAUCAAGCAGCCUUCCAAUACAGUACAGUGAAUUUUCAAAUUCAAAAUUGUAUCUGGCUGGUGGAAGCAAAUUCUCUUUUUGCGAUUAACAGUAUUUUUGUUUUAUUUUCCAAGAACCUGUUUUUUUUUAGUCUGCAUAUCAAUUGGUGUGACUAUUUUUUCUUUCAAUGCGAACACACUACUCUACAGCCCUCCUUAGAAUCUGUAUGGAUAAGAAACCCACUUGAUCAGACAGACUAGGAGAAUUCCUCCCUUCACAGAUCGUAUGAACAGGAUGAAUAAUUGCACUGGAGUAUUAAUGUCCAAUGUAUUAUGCAAAACUAUCCUUUCAAAUGAGUUGGGGUCAGGCAGAAAACGCAUUAAUGACCUUGUGAACAAGUUCAAAGUGAAUGUACGAUUGAUUGUGUAUGCUGGUUUCCCGUUUAAAUGUGCUAAAUGUGCUUACCGCUGAUUACAAUCUGGGCCCUACGAGCGUCAAAGACUAAAAACAUCAAAGAAAAAACACUUUGUUUCACCCUUUGAUUUGUUAGGGAGUAGAAUGUCUGCUUUGCACACUCGCACACUUACAUGGGUGAUGAGAUCCACGCUUUCACAGGUCAACAACUACAAAAGAUGUUUUAUCAUGCGAGUGUUAACCUUUAACCAGGGGCCGCUUUGAGGCUCCUGCGUACACAUAGGCUAACAAGGUCGCACAAAGCUAACCAUCGAGUCCACACGCCUGCGGGGUCCAGACUCUACUUCUAAAUGGAGAUAACCUUCCUGAGCAACAGAGGUCCUGGGACUCAGGGCCAAAUAAGUCACCCAUUAUCUGUGUUUACCAAAGGUCAGCGUUGUUAUGGACCUGGACGUGGAGAGUCCACUGGCUUAUCUGUCACCUGGCCUCCACGGCCCAACAGGCUCCUGUGUGAAGAAGUAAAGAGUGGAGCUGUCAGAGGAAUCUGGAGACGUUGCACCUGUCUGUUCCUGCACGCUGGAUUCUCACCGGAUAUUGUACACCUGGGAAUUCACUCUCACCAUCCGCACUCCUCACGCCUGUUCCUGCCGCUCACCUACCCUUGUGUCAGCGAAUAAAUCUGACUUUCACUUGCUUUCUGACUGCCGUGUCGUUUACGUUCUGCGUUUGGGUUCAGUCCCACUACAACACCUGACAGUAUACUGUGAUUUUCCCCUCUCAGACUCGCCUGUCCCAGAGCGACACCCCAUACACUAAGCACUGUGGCGUCACACAGGCACACAAACACACACAAUAUCAUAUAAGCUACUCUCACUUACCAGGUAACAGUAACGUUGCUGUAGAAUAUUCGGGUUGGUUUUGUGUAACGUUGACCUUUGGCUCAUCAUGAUCUGUGGCAGUGUCACACGACGCGGCUGUAGCUUCAGGGAC